rnacentral:rRNA from 1 species
GAUGAACGCUGGCGGCGUGCCUAAUACAUGCAAGUCGAGCGAACAGACGAGGAGCUUGCUCCUCUGACGUUAGCGGCGGACGGGCGAGUAACACGUGGAUAACCUACCUAUAAGACUGGGAUAACUUCGGGAAACCGGAGCUAAUACCGGAUAAUAUAUUGAACCGCAUGGUUCAAUAGUGAAAGACGGCUUUGCUGUCACUUAUAGCUGGAUCCGCGUCGCAUUAGCUAGUUGGUAAGGUAACGGCUUACCAAGGCGACGAUGCGUAGCCGACCUGAGAGGAUGAUCGGCCACACUGGAACUGAGACACGGUCCAGACUCCUACGGGAGGCAGCAGUAGGGAAUCUUCCGCAAUGGGCGAAAGCCUGACGGAGCAACGCCGCGUGAGUGAUGAAGGUCUUCGGAUCGUAAAACUCUGUUAUUAGGGAAGAACAAAUGUGUAAGUAACUAUGCACGUCUUGACGGUACCUAAUCAGAAAGCCACGGCUAACUACGUG